CCGCGGAGGCGGCGGAGGCAGGAAACAAAAAAGGGAUUCAAAGAGAAAGGACUGCGGCACGGAAUCUGGAGGGAAGAAGACGCGGCGACUGUGGCGAAUGUGUCGGGGAGGACAAGAAGGCGGACGAGAGAAUGCCGCCUCCGGCGCUGUGAAGACACGCCCCCGUCACAUCUUAGACCCACCCACGCGACGGCUCAUUCUCCUGCGCUUUCAAGAGCGCCGCGUCAGCUGGCGCACUUUCGCGAUAGACAGCCUUUUAGUCGGGAGGGGACAGCUUCAAAAAAGAAAAAGCAAAACAAAGGGAAAAGUCGGAGAGGUUAGAACUGAAGGGCAGAAACACAAAAUGUAAAUUUAAUAGGGAGAAAAAUAAGCUCUGUGGAGAAUAUGCGCGUGCGGACAAGCAGAUGGAGGAAGGCUGUGCCGAAACGACGUAGCCAAUCCAACCCACGCUUCUGUUGCUCACACGGCAUAGAGUCAUAUGCGGUAAAUAGCUUGGCCGCUGCGUUCCAGAGCCAAAUCGAAAAGGCGCAAAAAGCAGGAGAGUGCCGCAACAUUUUUUAUGAACCAAAUGAAACUAAAUGAGGGAAAGAGGAAAAACAUCUACGAAUGUGCGGAAUCGGACAGGCAGACAGAUGGCCGCUGUCAGGGUCCUCCCACACCUCCCUUCCCGUUUCUCUGCAUCUACAGCAUCCGAAUUCUCACUUUCAAGUGACGGGAACAAGUCAGCCUUUGUUAAGGCUUAAUUUUAAAAUGUCCAGAGAGAGGGAAGGUGCUCAGGAGUACUCAAAUACAUGAGAAGUGGAAAGGGGGGGUCCUGGAAGGGAAAAAAGGGAAAACCGUGUCGAAUAUGCGAGGUCGGAUGGAUAGAUCGGCGGCCGGAGGAUCCCUUCGGCGUUGAAACGGUGAGCCCCGCCCCAUUUCGUGCUCACUCUUCACAACAAGCGCUGCAUUCAGGGCUGGCUGGCCUUUUGACGCGACCGUGGAGCAGAUUGACUUCGAUUGGAGACGGCGGAAGCUGGGGACCUUCAUACCGGAAAAGGAAGAAACAAUUUCAGACAAAACUGGGAAGCCCCGUAUGAACAGAGAGAGAGCAGGCCCAGAAGAACAACUUCUACUGGACAGCAUUAUAGGGAGGGAAGAACACUCUGGCAUCCUUCCAGGGCUUCUGCUGGAUUUGGCCCCGGGGGCUCCAAGCCCCGGGGAUUUCUGAGGAGGAGGAUUCCUGGAAUGUGUAAUUAAAGGACAGCCAGAAGGAAGAGGAAGCAGCAGUGGCCAAGGCAGAUUCAGCUCACUCCCCUUUGUGACCAGCGACUGCGCUGUUAGUGAAGCUCCUCUGGUCCUCCCCUGGAAGGAGGGCCCAAACGGUCAUGGGGGUGAAGGCUUUCCUUACCGAUAAAAGAAGCCCUCAGAUGGCAUCUGAAGUCCCUUUCUGCUCUGGGAGGCUCACGGCCAGGGCCCUGAAUAUAAAUUGAAGACAGCAGCUAGGCAGCGAAGUGGAUGGAGCACCAGCUCUGGAAUCAGGAGGAUCUGGGUUCCAGUGUAGCCUCAGACACUCAGACACUGUGUGA